GGUCCCUCGUCAAAAUAACCGUCCAAUUUAUUGAGCAGGGCUCAAAUUAAAGGUGUUAGUAAUAAUUUAAGAACUUUCGACAACUUUAUAAACUAAACCGUUCACACGUACAAGGUAUAGGAUUAGCUAUUUCUGUUUUCUUUGAGCUUUUAUCAAUAUGAUUUUAUAAUCUGACAAUUAGAAAUAAACAGAUUCUAGUAUGGUUACUAGUCGGCAAUUUAA
rnacentral:lncRNA from 1 species